rnacentral:rRNA from 1 species
AGCGAACGCUGGCGGCAGGCUUAACACAUGCAAGUCGAACGGUCCUUCGGGAUUGUGGCGGACGGGUGAGAAACACGUGGGCACGUACCCAUAGGUUAGGAACAACACAGGGAAACUUGUGCCAAUACCGGAUAAGCCCUCCGGGGGCAAGAUUUAUCUCCUUUGGAGCGGUCCGCGUCUGAUUAGCUUGUUGGUGAGGCAAGGGCACACCAAGGCUACGAUCAGUAGCUGGUCUGAGAGGAUGGCUAGCCACACUGGGACUGAGACACGGCCCAGACAGCUACGGGAGGCGGCAGUGGGGAAUCUUGCGCAAUGGGCGAAAGCCUGACGCAGCCAUGCCGCGUGGAUGAUGAAGGUCUGAGGAUUGUAAAAUCCUUUCGCCGGGGACGAUAAUGACGGUACCCGGAGAAGAAGCCCCGGCUAACUUCGUGCCAGCCGCCGCAGUAA